rnacentral:rRNA from 1 species
UGGGGAAUAUUGGACAAUGGGCGCAAGCCUGAUCCAGCCAUGCCGCGUGAGUGACGAAGGUCUUCGGAUUGUAAAACUCUUUUGGCGGGGACGAUAAUGACGGUACCCGCAGAAUAAGCCCCGGCUAACUUCGUGCCAGCAGCCGCGGUAAUACGAAGGGGGCUAGCGUUGUUCGGAAUCACAGGGCGUAAAGCGCACGUAGGCGGAUGUGCCAGUCAGGGGUGAAAUCCCGGAGCUCAACUCCGGAACUGCCUCUGAUACAGCACGUCUUGAGUUCGAGAGAGGUGGGUGGAAUUCCUAGUGUAGAGGUGAAAUUCGUAGAUAUUAGGAAGAACACCGGUGGCGAAGGCGGCCCACUGGCUCGAUACUGACGCUGAGGUGCGAAAGCGUGGGGAGCAAACAGGAUUAGAUACCCUAGUAGUCCCUGAGCGGGCUGGCAAGGCGCAU